CUCGGAAACACAACGGGAGCUGUGACAGAGGGUGGUGCGCAAGCCCCUCCGAGAAGGGGAAGCCUGAAGCCCUCUUAAUUAACGGCGCCCACCUGGUCAAGCCAGGUUCGAAACACCGUCGGCACACGGCAGAGGCGGGGAUUUG
rnacentral:sRNA from 1 species